rnacentral:rRNA from 1 species
UACGGAGGGGGCUAGCGUUGUUCGGAAUUACUGGGCGUAAAGCGCACGUAGGCGGCUUUGUAAGUUAGAGGUGAAAGCCCGGGGCUCAACUCCGGAAUUGCCUUUAAGACUGCAUCGCUAGAAUUGUGGAGAGGUAAGUGGAAUUCCGAGUGUAGAGGUGAAAUUCGUAGAUAUCAGGAGGAACACCGGUGGCGAAGGCGGAUCUCUGGGCCGAUACUGACGCUGAGGAGCGAAAGCGUGGGGAGCGAACAGG